rnacentral:lncRNA from 1 species
AAAAAUAAAGAAUAAAAAAUAAAAUCCAAGUGCUUAUUAUGACUAGCUGAUAUAUAAUAAGUGCUUAAUUAAGUUAUUUGUCCAAGUUCGCCUUUAGUAACAGACAUAACUAUUCAGCUUUAUAGAGUACAACCUAUGAUCAGAAAACAAUAAUCAUACUAACAAAGCUACAAAAAGGAAAAAAAGGUAAAUGAUAGGUCACAACUAUUAAAAUUCUAUUAGAGAUCGUAAAUAUUUGCAAUUAAGAGUGUUUUUUACAACUAUAUUUCCUUCCUGUAAGACUUAAAUAUAGCAAAAGACAUCAAGCAUACUAGAUUGAGUUGAAAUAAGUUCUUUCUCUCUCUCUUCCUCUUCCUUUUCUUUGUUUUCAAAAGCUAUCAAGAAAAAAAGAGAUUAAGAUGUCCAGGUCAGUCAGUAUGUGGUCUAUUAUGUUAAUACGUACUUGUAUGACUUAGUUUAUACUUAAUUUUUCACUCAAUCUGUUUUUCAUUGAUAACGGUGUCAUGUACUGCUGGCCAGAUAUCACCACCGGUUAACAGUAAUUAACCAAAGCUAGUGAUAUUAAUUACAUAUACUGGAUCAGAGGGACAGCUAAAAAAUAUUGAGAUCUUAUUUAGGGGCUGUCUUCACAAAUAUAAAAGACAGGUGCAGUAGUCUUUGGUUCCACCUGGAGUUGUUGCCCUUCUUUUGUUACGUCACCUUAUGUGAUUCAACUUUCCCCUCCGCUACACAACAACUUCUAUGUCAGUGAACCACCAACUUCUAUGUCUCACCUUAAACCGCAACACAGCAGCCUCAAUCGAUGCCUCGUCAAUAUCCAACUUUGUCUUCCCAAACGAACCAAAAAUAGGCCAAUUAAAAUAAAAUUAACACAGAUUAGGGUUCAAUUUUAAAGAUUUCUAGGCAUUACAAAUUACCAGAAAAUGAAGGAAGAGAAGAAUCACUUACCAGAUUUAGGGCUCGACAGAAGAUUGAUUUAGGGCUCCAGAGAAGAAAGAUUUAGGGCACGAUACAGUUUGACAUAAGAGGGGUGAAGUAGACCGACAGCUGCAGAGAAGAGAGGCUCGCAACCAGAGAAGUCGAUCGACAACUGCAGAGAAGAGAGCUUCGAGAGGAAACGUGACUGAAGGUUCGAGACGAGAGUUGACUGAAGGUGACAGUGUUUGAUGAAGGAUUGAUACGCAAAGAGAGCGAAGAGAGGUGACAGUGUUCGAGAUCGAAGAGAGAAGAGAGUUCUUAGGGUUCUUAGGGAAAAAGCUUCAUUGUAGUGAUACCCAGCUCAGAAUAUCCAUAUUAACCAAAAAAGCAUUUUCUUAAAAAUAUUAUUUCCCAAAACCGUAUAUAGUAUCCGCAGUUAACAACUUCCUUCAAAAUGCAUAC